rnacentral:lncRNA from 1 species
GACACCAAAUACGAAUGGUAAUAUAAAUAUCCAAUAAGUACAAAAUUAAAUCUUAGAAAAAUGAUAUGUGUCAGUCAAGAUUGGCUUCUAGGAUAUAUAUCCAACAAUUUCAGCCAUCAAAAAAGAGAUCUUUGCAAGAAAGCUAGUAACCUGAGAAGAUCAUCCCACCUCUGAUCAGAAUAAGUCCUCAUGUGGAUACCUAUGG